GGGGACAUAGCUCAGUUGGGAGAGCAACAGACUGAAGUUCUGGAGGUCCCCAGUUCAAUCCUGGGUGUCCCCA
rnacentral:tRNA from 1 species